rnacentral:tRNA from 2 species
GGUCGCGUGGCCUAAUGGUUAAGGCGUUGGUUUUCGGUCCACUGGAAGCACAAACCCACCAAAGAUUGGGAGUUCGAAUCUCCUCGCGAUCG